rnacentral:rRNA from 1 species
ACGCUCGACACCUACGGGAGACAGCAGUGGGGAAUAUUGCACAAUGGGGGAAACCCUGAUGCAGCGACGCCGCGUGGAGGAAGAAGGUCUUCGGAUUGUAAACUCCUGUUGUUGGGGAAAAGAGGAUGGUACCCAACAAGGAAGUGACGGCUAACUACGUGCAGCAGCCGCGGUAAUCUGAGCGGGCUGGCAAGGC